rnacentral:lncRNA from 1 species
GGCAAGCUGCUCGGAUCCCAGCCCACGGUGUGGAAGCUUUGUUCUUUCGCUCUUUGCAAUAAAUCCUGCUGCUGCUCACUCUUUGGGUCAACACUACCUUUCUGAGCUGUGACGCUCACUGCGAAGGUCUGCAGCUUCACCCCUGAAGCCAGCAAGACCACGAACCCACCGGGAGGAACUAACAACUCCAGACGCGCCGCCUUAAGAGCUGUAACACUCACCGCGAAGGUCCGCAGCUUUACUCCUGAGCCAGCGAGACCACGAACCCACCAGAAGGAAGAAACUCAGAACACAUGCGAACAUCAGAAGGAACAAACUCCAGAGGCGCCACCUUAAGAGCUAUAACACUCACCGCGAGGGUCCGCGGCUUCGUUUUUGAAGUGAGACCAAGAACCCACCAAUUCCGGACAUGCGUGGACUCACUGAGAAGCAGCAAGUUGGCGUUGACUUAGCCCGCUCAGUGUGCAGAGUGGGUUGAAGAAAAGAAUAGACCACAUCAGAGGAGUAAAGGGGUGGGGGCAAAAGCCAGAGAAGGUGGGACCUUGGAAUCACUGGAAUGACUUUGCUUCCACUCUGGAAGCGAACCUGAGCUUCCAGACCUUUGGAGGGCCUUAGCUGUACUACAUUUCAGUACUCCUAAAGCAAGUUUUUCAGAAGAUUGCUCAGGCUAAAACACCAAACUUCUUUGCAGUGAGCUGGGCUAGCAUCAACUUGAGGCUGAAACCUCGGCUUUCUGUACUGAUCAGAAGGUUGAGGUUGAUAGCAAUACCUGUCUGCAAGUCAUUGCAGUAACAAAUACUUAACAAAUGGGGUUUGUUUUGUAGACCUAAUCUUUGAAGACAUAAGGCCCACUGUGAGGGGAGCAGUUACUACAUUCAGCCCUUGGUAGUAAAAUCAUAAGAACCAUCGAUGUAGAUGAUGGCAAUAGAUCACAUUUCCACUCCCACCCACGCAUCUCUGUUCAUGAUUCCCUGCAGGGCCAGGUGGAGAUGUGUGCCUGGGUCGGUAUAAACCUCUCUCUGUGUUUCAAGAACACACCUUUGGGAAGGUGACAGUGUGGUGGUGGGACAGCAAACUGCCAGUCUAGAAAGCUACUCCAGGCCUCAGUUUCUCAUCUGUGGAAUUAAGACAUUGGCCUGUAGAUCCAUGGGAUCCAUCAGGGAUCACCCCAGCUCUAAGCAUCUAUGAUACCGUGGGAAUGGAGAUGAAGAUAUUUCAUUUAACAUCUGGUCAAGAGUCCAAGUAAACAGCUCACGUGAUGUCCUUCAAGAGCCAGCCAUACUCUGGGGCUUAUCGUCUUGGCAGAAAAAGCAACUGUCCAGAGGUCAAACAAGGGCCUGUUUCCUCCCCUGCGAGCCAGCUGAGACCUUCCAUUCCCAGACUGAGUUUCAGUCCUUUAGUUUAGCCUUAAGGCUUUGUUCCCUAAUAAAAUGCAACACACUGGAAAGACUGCCACUAAGUUACUCUCAGAUUUACUUUACAAGGAUGAGUUGAGAUCAACUUUUGAUGAGCAGAGGAGGGCCAAAUAGACCAUGUGUCCUUGGGAGGGAAGAGCUGUGUCCCUGGGAUGGGGAGCAUUUUGGAACCAGAGGUUGGAAGCACCAAAGCCGAACAGUUCCUUCUCACCAGUGCUUCCCAGGCAGAGCCUCACAAAACAGCACAAUUGUGGCAAUUCCCCUGUGAGGCUUCUUUAAGAACCCUAUUUUCCCUGGUUUAAGUAAACUCAAAUAUUUCAUUUGUAUUUCUGUAAGCACACAUUUUCAACUCUUGCUGCCUUCUUGGCUGUUGAAUGACUGUCAUCACCAUGUGUAGAAUCAUGGAUCUAAGAAUCCUCAGUGUCACUUAGUCCAACUUUCUUCCCCAAAUAGUCUCUUCUAGGAUAUCUUCCCCAUUGAUGGCCACUAUGUAGGUGCUUGAACCUUUGCAGUAACAAGGACUUCAUUGCUUCAUAAGGCACUGUGUUACAUGAUGGACUAUUGUAUUUUUAGGAAGUUCUUUUUAUUGAAUCAAACUUUAUCUCUCUAAACAUCAAUUGAUCAUUUCUAGUCUCCCAGAAUUACUUUGGUUAAUGGAUCUCAAAGUCUAAAUUCAAACAUUGUCACCUAAGCAUUGAGGUCCUCCCCUUUUUUGUUCCUCUCACUAGUCUAGUUUUAUGAACAAUCCUAUGAAACCUCGAUGACCACACAUCUGACAAGCCCAUUACUGUUUCAAAAGGAAAGGAAGGUAGGGAUCUACAAGCUAAUGUCUCCAAAGCAGAUCUUAGCACAAUUCUGAUUCUGCAUCCAGCACAUGACAUUCUCCCUGGAGAUAAUCCCAAUGCCUGCUUAAUAGGUUAGAGUCCCAGCGUUUAAUAUCUGACCGCAUUAAGAGUUUUUAACAUCUCACUUAAAAUUAAUCCAUAACAGAUAUUUUUGACAUAAAACUCAAAAGGAAAUAGCUUCCUACCCAAAUUAACUACAAAAUCGGGAAAAACUUUAAAAGUUUCUGUAUUAGACUGUACACAAGCCUGCCUACUGUAUUUAACUGGACUCUUCAUGACAUCUAGUGGCGAAAUCUGGAAAAGUUUCCAGUACUCUAAACGUGGCAGAAGGUGGGAAAACAAUUUUUAAUCCUAUUUGAUAUUCACUGUUUGAAUAUUAUGUUUUGUGAAAUCGUAAACUGAAUUCAUCUGUCAAUCCAUUAUAAUAGUAUACUCAUUUUUAUUUUAGGCAUAUCUGUGGCUUUAUACCUUUUAAAUUUGGGCUGACUUUGAAAUCAAUCACAUCUAUUUUUUCACGGAUGUCAGAAAGAACCACAUUGGUUUAGGGGGAGAAAAACAUUCUGGAUAAGCAUAAAUAACAACAUUUUUAGCUGGAAACACACCACAAAAAUGUUUUGCAUAACUGUAUUCAUCUUCAAAUGUAGUUUUAAGACUCAAUUCCUGUGAAAUCUGAGUCAUUUAUAGCUAACCUUGAAUGUAUUGUUAUUCACAAUUAGAAGUAGAUAAAUUUCACAGGCAGAGAAGCUGACAAGUCUUUAAGACUUCACACUUAGUUUUGCAGGAAGAGCUGAAGUUAAUUAGAAGUGAUUAUACAUACAUUGCAUGUGUGUGUGUAUUUGUGUUGUUGCACACAGACACCACGAAGGCCUUGGGAAGGUUGCAUUUUUUAUGUUUUAAAAAUAAACAUAAUCUCCUUCCCAUGUGUUGCUAUAAGCCCAGUAAAUCUAGGAAGCUCAGCAGGGUUGAACAAGGUCAUUUCUCGUCAGGACUCCAAGGGGGAGCAGGAAGCAACCCUGUGCAUCAGAUGCUGGCAUCCUAAUCCCUGCUCAGCAAGAGCUUCCCAGGCAUGUGGGACAGGUCGUGCCAGCGCCGACACACUGGCAGACCGAGGCUCUGACGCCAGCCACGCUCCGUAUCAGCACUGCGGCUCCCUACCUACCGUGCCCCUGGAAGACGAAAAUAUAUCCUCACUCUCACAGUAAAGGCAGGAUUCCAACCGAGUCUGCUCACUUCUUGGUUCUGGUAAACAGGAAAGUAGUCAUGAAAAGAUACAUCUAAUC